rnacentral:rRNA from 1 species
GAUGAACGCUGGCGGCGUGCCUAACACAUGCAAGUCGAACGGAGAUUACGGACGGAAGUUUUCGGAUGGAAGCCUGUAAUUCUUAGUGGCGGACGGGUGAGUAACGCGUGGGCAACCUGCCCUAUACAGGGGGAUAGCAGCUGGAAACGGCUGGUAAGACCGCAUAAGUCGGUUAAAUCGCAUGAUUUGAUCGGGAAAUGAGCAAUCAGGUAUAGGAUGGGCCCGCGUCCGAUUAGCCAGUUGGCAGGGUAAAAGCCUACCAAAGCGACGAUCGGUAGCCGGACUGAGAGGUCGGACGGCCACAUUGGGACUGAGACACGGCCCAAACUCCUACGGGAGGCAGCAGUGGGGGAUAUUGCACAAUGGAGGAAACUCUGAUGCAGCGACGCCGCGUGAGUGAAGAAGUAUUUCGGUAUGUAAAGCUCUAUCAGCAGGGAAGAUGAUGACGGUACCUGACUAAGAAGCCCCGGCUAACUACGUG